CAGGGGGGGCAAGCGUUGUUCGGAAUUACUGGGCGUAAAGGGCUCGUAGGCGGCCAACUAAGUCCGACGUGAAAUCCCAAGGCUUAACUUUGGAACUGCGUCGGAUACUGGAUGGCUUGAAUUCGGGAGAGGGAUGCAGAAUUCCAGGUGUAGCGGUGAAAUGCGUAGAUAUCUGGAGGAAUACCGGUGGCGAAGGCGGCAUCCUGGACCGACAUUGACGCUGAGGAGCGAAAGCUAGGGGAGCAAACGGGAUUAGAUACCCCGGUAGUCCUAGCCCUAAACGAUGAAUGCUUGGUGUGGCGGUAUCGAUCCCUGCCGUGCCGAAGCUAACGCAUUAAGCAUUCCGCCUGGGGAGUACGGUCGCAAGGCUG
rnacentral:rRNA from 1 species